rnacentral:lncRNA from 13 species
AUGCCCACAGGCCGGCGGGUCUCAGGGAACCGGACCUUGGGCCUGGCUCAGAGGGUCCUGAGAGCAAGGGGUCUGUCUCAGGCGGGGACGUUGUCUGGAGGAUGGGCUUUUGAGUUGGGCUAUAGAGCCACCCUGUCACCCACAAAGGCGUUCACCUAUGGCCCCGUGACCCCACGGCCCCGUCAGUCCCCGUCCCCCAUCAAAACCAUCACCACCUCCUCGUCCGUCUUCACCGCCAAGAGCCUGAAACCUCAGAGACCGACGACAGCAGCCAGUGUGAACCAGGAACCGCCCUCCCAGGUUGUCUGUGCCAGGAACCAUGGACAUGGGCAAACUUCUGAGCUACCAGCCCAACAGGGGCAUAAAACAUCCCCAAGAUGAUGAAGAGGAGGAGCAGAAGAUGCAUCAGAAACAAACUGGUACUCAAGAACGUGGCUACUAUCAGCAAGAGGAAAUGAUUGUGGUGGACGAAGCAGAAGAAUGACAAAAAAUGGCUGCUUCACAUUAUUGACAGAAAGGGUAAGGAGGAAGAGAAAGAGGAGGAACCACUGGAUGAAAGCUCAGUGAAGAAAAUGAUCCUCACAGCCAGGCGCGGUGGCUCACGCCUGUAAUCCAAGCACUUUGGAGGCCAAGGCAGGCAGAUCACCUGAGGUCGGGAGUUCAAGACUAGCCUGACCAACAUGGUGAAACCUCAUCUUUAUAAAAAAAAAAAAAAGAAAAAGAAAAUGAUCCUCACAUUUGAAUAGACAGCAUAUAACAAACAAGAAUUGUGGAUCAAGUUUCCAGACAAUCCACAGAAGUUCAUGAAAUCCCAACUGGACUUACAUGACAUCAUUCAGAAGAUACAUGUGGUGGCCACCAUGCCAGACCUGUACCACCUUCUGCUGGAGCUGAAUGCUGUGCAGUCACUUCUUGGGUUGCUUGGAGAUGGUAACACAGAUGUGUCCAUAGCUGGGGUUGAUUUGAAUCAGGAAUUAACAGAUAUAGAUAUCUUCUAUGAGAGCGAAGAGGGAACAGAAGUACUCAUCAAUGCUCUGGUGGAGGAGCAGGUGAUAGCGCUGCUGGCACGCAACGUGGAGCACCUGGAUGAGUCUGUGAAGGAGGCCAAUGGUGUCCAUAACACUCUUGUUAUUGUGGAAACCAAGGCUGAGUUCUAGCUGGAGAUGUGUACAAAAGGUGCCCAGCAGGGUUUUCUGCAGUGGCUGUUGAAGAGGCUGAAGGCAAAGAAGCCUUUUGAUGCCGACAAACUGUAUUGCAGUGAAAUGCUGACCAUAUCGGUCCAGGACAACGAUAAAAACAGGAAAUUGCUUGGGGAGCUGGAUGGAAUUGAUGCACUUAUUCAGCCGUUAUCUGUGUUUAAAAGACACAAUCCAGGCACAGCAAACAGGAGAUGAUGGAGAAUCUGUUUGAUUCACUCUGCUUCUACCUAAUACUCAGUUCCAGUCGUGAGCACUUCUUGAUGACUCUCAUGCUCAGGGAAAAGAAGAUCUCAUGGAGCGGUGCCCUAAAAGUGCUGAUUGCACCCAAGGGCAUCUACAACUGCGGUAAAUUUGUUGACCUUUGGCCGGGCGCAGUGGCUCACACCUGCAAUCCCAGCACUUUGGGAGGCCCAGGCAGGCAGAUCACCUGAGCUUGGGGGUUUGAGACUAGCCUGACCCCCAUGGAGGAACUCCAUCUCUACUUAAAAUAGAAAAAAUUAGCCGGGCGUGGUGGCACAUGCCUGUAAUCCCAGCUACUUGGGAGGCUGAGGCAAGAGAAUGGCUUGAACCUGGGAGGCGGAGGUUGUGGUGAGCCAAGAUCGCGCCAUUGCACUCCAGCCUGGGCAACAAGAGCAAAACUCCAUCUCAAAAAAAAAAAUUGUUGAUAUUCUUGGGUUAUGAACCAUCUUUCCCCUCUUUAUGAAAUUCUCCAGGAAGAUCAAGAAAGUAGGUACCACUGACAAGGAACAUGAAGAGCAUGUCUGUUCCAGCCUGGCUUCCCUUUUUCGGAACCUGAGAGGGCAUCAGCGAACCUGACUUCUGAAUAAAUUCACUGAAAAUGACA